rnacentral:piRNA from 2 species
UGCCUUCAACAUGUCCGAGACUGCGC